UUCCCUUGCCCACCAAAAUGCAAUUGACGACAGGUAUUGGGUCUGUCAUGUUUGGGUAAAAUUGUACACCAGGACUUUUGGCAUCUUCAUAUGUUUUUUUUGUGCGUUUCUCUUUUUUUGUGCGACGUGCAUGUUUAUGUAAAUAAUAAUAUUGUUUUCGUGAAACCCCGCGUGGAGUAACCGAGCGAUAGGUCUGGUUUUAUUAAGGUAAGCUGUCGCCCUCAGAGGACAGAAAGAAAAGAUUGUGAGUCUUGCAUGGGGCUGAAAUCAGAGGGAAGCACGAGUGUUUCCCAGAGAAGUGGACGUGAAUUUUGAGGGCUGCGAUACAUUCAAGGACUUUGGAGAGAAAAGGAAGAUUAGGCGAAGACCAAGUGACAGUGAUGCUUUUGUUGUGAGCCUGUUACCUGAAAUGGGUGGCCGAGAGCCGAAGGCUGCUUUGCAGGCAGGACAUCUCAGGAAAUCAAGGUUGACUCGUUUCCACUGUCAUUCCAUGGAGUCUGAGUGACUGACGAGACAAAUUGGGGACCCGCAGAUGUGGCAGAAGGUGCUUGAUGGGGAGAAUGGAGCAGUGAUUUAAGAGGCAUACUCAGUAAAUCCAAGAACCAUAAUAGGAUCAAUGAAAGACCACACCCAACAGGACGGACAAACAACCAAUGUGCAAAUGACAACAAACUGUGCAAAUCCAAAAGAAAAAAAGAAAUAAUAUUAGCAUUGACAGUUGAACAAUGAAAUACAAUAGAAUCAAUGAAAAACUACACACAAACACGGGCAAACAACCAAUGGACAAAAGAAGAAAAGCUGUGCAAAUACUAAUGCCACUGUCUAGUCCGUGUCGGGACUGAGUGAAGUGGGGGAGAAGUGUGUGUUGGAGCGCGACACGUCACGGACAAUGGAGCUUGCCCAAGUCUUCAGGGAGAACCGUCACCCCGACACAAGGAUUGGAUCGGACAAUGAGUAUCGACACUGGACUAGCUGGUAAUUUAUGGAUAUGCCAGCGACCAGGUGAACACUGGACUGCACUCAAAAGAUUUCUGUGGCAGGUGGAGGGAUGUUUACUCUUUUGCGAUGGUCUCCAGCUACAGUCUCUCUGCUUCGCAGGAAUCACUGCACUGUAAAAUCACAGCUGGGAGGGUGAUGAAGAGGAGAGGAGAGAAAUGUCGUUUGGGAGUCCUGGUCGUUUUCCCACACUGAACCAAAGCAAUCCUUGGUCAAGGUCAGUUCCAGGGAAAGCUGGCCCAGCUUCUCCAGUCUCUCAAUCCCAGGCAACAUUCUGGAAUUCUGCAGAUGCUGGAAAUUCAAGCAACACACAUCAAAGUUGCUGGUGACCGCAGCAGGCCAGGCAGCAUCGCUCGGAAGAGGUGCAGUCGACGUUUCAGGCCGAGACCCUUCGUCAGGACUAACUGAAGGAAGAGGGCCGUGGACAAUUCUGAUUUGAUGGAGAAUGGAUGUGAAAGCACAGAGGAACAUCUGGAGAAAUUUCUGAAACGUCCGUCCGCUGCUGUCGUUACUGUGUAGUCGGGAAUCUUUCGGAGGGUAGGCCUCUAAAUCCCCGGCCUUGCCUGCUUUUGGCAACCGAGAAGGAGGUUGAAUUGUUCGGCAGAGAUGCCACUCAGUACUCAGUAUCGGAGAGCUGAUCAGAGCUCGAAGUUUUCGGACGACUCAGAGUCGGAUUGUGGUCGGCAUGGCAGAGAGAGUUUUUCUUCCUUCUCCCGUCUAUGUGAGAUGUGGGACAUUUGAGAAACUUUGAACUUUACUGUGCUCAUGGACUUCUUCAUCAAGUUAUGGUAUUGUUUCACUGUUUGUAACUACAUGUAUAAAUAUGUGGUUUUGUCAGUUUUUUCAGUCUUGGCUUGUCUUGACAAGACAGUUAGGGGUCUGUCUUGUCUCCCUUUCUCUUCACCAUUUACACCUCUGACUUCAACUACUGCACAGAGUCUUGUCAUCUUCAGAAGUUUUCUGAUGACUCUGCCAUAGUUGGAUGCAUCAGCAGGGAAGAUGAGGCUGAGUACAGGGCUACGGUAGGAAAUUUUGUCACAUGGUGUAAGCAGAAUUAUCUGCAGCUUAAUGUGAAAAAGACUAAGGAGCUGGUGGUAGACCUGAGGAGAGCUACGGUACCGGUGACCCCUGUUUCCAUCCAGGGGGUCAGUGUGGACAUAGUGGAGGAUUACAAAUACCCGGGGAUACGAAUUGACAAUAAACUGGACUGGUCAAAGAACACUGAGGUUGUCUACAAGAAGGGUCAGAGCCGUCUCUAUUUCCUGAGGAGACUGAGGUCCUUUAACAUCUGCUGGACGAUGCUGAGGAUGUUCUACGAGUCUGUGGUGGCCAGUGCGAUCAUGUUUGCUGUUGUGUGCUGAGGCAGCAGGCUGAGGGUAGCAGACACCAACAGAAUCAACAAACUCAUUCGUAAUGCCAUCGAUUUUGUGGGGAUGGAACUGGACUCUCUGACGGUCGUGCCUGAAAAGAGGAUGCUGUCCAAGUUGCAUGCCAUCUUGGACAAUGUCUCCCAUCCACUACAUAAUUGUUACUAAUCCACUACAUUAGUAAGUCAAAGGAGCUGGUGAUAGACUUUAGGAAGAUUAAGCCUGCACUGCUCCCUGUUACUAUUGAUGGUGAGGAUGUGGAGCCACUACAUGGCUCCCUUCAUGUUUACCCUGUAUACUUUGGACUUUAGACACAACACUGAGUCAUGUCAUCUGCAGGAAUUCUCUGAUGACUCAGCAAUAGUUGGAUGUAAAACGAGAGGACGGGAGGAUGAAUACAGGGCCCUGGUGGAGGACCUUGUCAAAUCAGAAUCAGAAUCAGAAUCAGGUUUAUUAUCACCGGCAUGUGACAUGAAAUUUGUUAACUUAGCAGCAGCAGUUCAAUGCAAUACAUAAUAUAGCAGAGAGAGAGAAAAAAGAAUAAAUAAAAUAAAACAGAAUAAUAAAUAAACAAGUAAAUCAAUUACGUAUAUUGAAUAGAUUUUAAAAAUGUACAAAAGCAGAAAUACUGUAUAUUAAAAAAAGUGAGGAAGUGGCCAAAGCUUCAAUGUCCAUUUAGGAUUCGGAUGGCAGAGGGGAAGAAGCUAUUCCUGAAUCGCUGAGUGUGUGCCUUCAGGCUUCUAUAUCUCCUACUUGAUGGUAACAGUGAGAAAAGGGCAUGACCUGGGUGCUGCCUUUCUGAGACACCACUCCCUAAUGGUGCACGGCUGCACCUCAACAUUAGUAAGUCAAAGGAGCUGGUGAUAGACUUUAGGAAGAUUAAGCCUGCACUGCUCCCUGUUACUAUUGAUGGUGAGGAUGUGGAUGUGGUGAGGGUCUACAAGUACCUGGGGGUGCACUUGGAUUACAAACGUUAGUGGAGCACCAACACAGAGGCUGUGUACAAGAAGGGCCAGAGUUACCUCUACUUCCUGAGGAGACUGAGGUCCUUUGGGGUAUACAGGCCUCCCUUUCACGUGUUCUACCAGUCUGUUGUCGCCAGUACAAUCUUCUAUGUGGUGGUGUGCUGGGGCAAUGACAUCAACCUAGGUGAUGCCAACAGGCUCAAUAAACUGAUUAGAAAGUCUGGCUCUGUUAUAGGAGUCAAACUGGGCACACUGGAGGCUGUGGUAGUCCAAAGGAUCCUACAGAAAUCUUGACAAUUCCGGACCAUGUUCCUUGCCCUCUGCAUGCCACCUUGGCUGAACAGAGGAACACUUUUAGUAAUAGACUAAGACAACUGUGCUGCUCUAAAGAGUGCUAUGUGAGGCCAUUCUUACUCUCGGCCAUAGGCUCUAUAAUGAGUCAACCUAUAGCCAGGGAAGUGAUUAUCCCCUCCUGUUAGACUGUUUUAAGUAACUUAUUUUUUAUUCUUUCUUACUUCUCUCCUAAUAUUUGUACAUCUCUGCAUGUGUAAUGCUACUGUGACACUAA